rnacentral:rRNA from 1 species
GACUACAGGGGUAUCUAAGCCUGUUUGCUCCCCCAGCUUUCGUGCCUCAGCGUCAGUUGUCGUCCAGUGGGCCGCCUUCGCCUCCGGCGUUCUUCACAAUAUCAACGCAUUUCACUGCUACACCGUGAAUUCCGCCCACCUCUCCGACACUCAAGCCCCACAGUUUCGAAUGCAGUUCCACAGAUGAUCCGUGGGAUUUCACAUCCGACACAUGAGACCGCCUACGCACCCUUUACGCCCAGUAAAUCCGAACAACGCUUGCCACCUCUGUAUUACCGCGGCUGCUGGCACAGAGUUAGCCGUGGCUUCCUCUUGGGGUACUAUCACUGCGAAGUGUUAUUAAUACUCCGCUCGUUGCUCCCCCAUCACAGCAGUUUACAACCCGAAGGCCUUCAUCCUGCACGCGGCGUCGCAUCGUCAGGCUUGCGCCCAUUGCGAAUGAUUCUCGACUGCAGCCCCCCGUAGG